AACGAACGCUGGCGGCAUGCCUAACACAUGCAAGUCGAACGAGACCGCUAACUUCGGUUGGCGCGUCUAGUGGCGCACGGGUGCGUAACACGUGGGAAUCUGCCCUUGGGUUCGGGAUAACAGUUGGAAACGACUGCUAAUACCGGAUGAUGACUUCGGUCCAAAGAUUUAUCGCCCAGGGAUGAGCCCGCGUAGGAUUAGCUUGUUGGUGAGGUAAGAGCUCACCAAGGCGACGAUCCUUAGCUGGUCUGAGAGGAUGAUCAGCCACACUGGGACUGAGACACGGCCCAGACUCCUACGGGAGGCAGCAGUGGGGAAUAUUAGACAAUGGGGGAAACCCUGAUCCAGCAAUGCCGCGUGAGUGAUGAAGGCCUUAGGGUUGUAAAGCUCUUUUACCCGGGAUGAUAAUGACAGUACCGGGAGAAUAAGCCCCCGGCUAACUCCGUGCCAGCAGCCGCGGUAAUACGGGGGGGGCAAGCGUUGUUCGGAAUUACUGGGCGUAAAGGGCUCGUAGGCGGCCAACUAAGUCAGAUGUGAAAUCCCCAGGCUCAACCUGGGAACUGCAUCUGAUACUGGUUGGCUUGAAUUCGGGAGAGGGAUGCAGAAUUCCAGGUGUAGCGGUGAAAUGCGUAGAUAUCUGGAGGAACACCGGUGGCGAAGGCGGCUUGCUGGACCCUGGUCUGACGCUGAGGUGCGAAAGCGUGGGGAGCGAACAGGAUUAGAUACCCUGGUAGUCCACGCCGUAAACGAUGGGCACUAGAUGCCGGUGGGAUCGACCCCUUCGGUGUCGUAGCCUAACGCGUUAAAGUGCCCGCCUGGGGAGUA
rnacentral:rRNA from 1 species